AUUUUUAUCACAUAGUAAUAAUCAACAUCAAUUUGAUCACCGGAGAUGGCGAAGUUCGAAGAGCCGGCGAUCGGAAUUCCUUACAACCCGUCGGCGCCGUACCAGGCUCCGAUGCCGCAGCAAUUUCAGCAGCAAUACUAUGUAGGUCAAAAUCCUUAUCAAGCAGGUAUGGUUCCACCAAACGCCAUUUAUGGAGAUCCUAAAGGAAUUCCGAUUCAACAAACUAUUUACAGAGAUACACCUGCUCCUUUCAAUUGCCUUCACUGUGGCAACACCGGUCUCACCCAAGUCAAAUCAAAACCGAGUCCUGCAGCUUUUGUUGGAUGCAUGACACCAUUUAUGCUUGGAGUAUGCUUUCUGUUGCCAUCAAUGGAUUGCCUCUGGCACAAGUAUCAUUAUUGUCCAAGCUGCAAUCAAAAGGUUGCCGAUUUUGAGAAAUCCGAUUUUUGUUUGGUUAUGGACCCUCCAAACUGGGAAGAAAAAAGUUUUGCUUUACCUGCAUGAGGGCAUAAUCUUGGAUUUGCCUGGUUUAACCCCUUUUCUUUGUAUUUUUGUGUAUAAAUACGUGUUUCUUGUUUGCUCAAGAGAAUGGAUGUGAACUAAAAUGCAGUUUGUUAUAACUAUAGAUUUUUCUAUUGUUGAUUGCUCUUUUGAGUUUUGUGUAUUUAAACAAUGAAAUAAAAAAAAUUAUGAUGUCG
rnacentral:misc_RNA from 1 species